rnacentral:rRNA from 1 species
UACAGAGGUCUCAAGCGUUGUUCGGAUUCAUUGGGCGUAAAGGGUGCGUAGGUGGCGCUGUAAGUCGGGUGUGAAAUUUCGGAGCUUAACUCCGAAACUGCAUUCGAUACUGCGGUGCUUGAGGACUGGAGAGGGGACUGGAAUUCAUGGUGUAGCAGUGAAAUGCGUAGAGAUCAUGAGGAAGACCAGUGGCGAAGGCGGGGUCUCUGGACAGUUCCUGACACUGAGGCACGAAGGCCAGGGGAGCAAACGGG